ACUCUGAUAUUGUAAUGGCAGCAUCUCAGUCUCCAAAACUGAUAGUACUGGUUCGAGUCCGGUUCGGAGUGCAA
rnacentral:tRNA from 2 species